GGUUAAGCGACUAAGCGUACACGGUGGAUGCCCUGGCAGUCAGAGGCGAUGAAGGACGUGCUAAUCUGCGAUAAGCGUCGGUGAGGUGAUAUGAACCGUUAUAACCGGCGAUUUCCGAAUGGGGAAACCCAGUGUGUUUCGACACACUAUCAUUAACUGAAUCCAUAGGUUAAUGAGGCGAACCGGGGGAACUGAAACAUCUAAGUACCCCGAGGAAAAGAAAUCAACCGAGAUUCCCCCAGUAGCGGCGAGCGAACGGGGAGGAGCCCAGAGCCUGAAUCAGUGUGUGUGUUAGUGGAAGCGUCUGGAAAGGCGCGCGAUACAGGGUGACAGCCCCGUACACAAAAAUGCACAUGCUGUGAGCUCGAUGAGUAGGGCGGGACACGUGGUAUCCUGUCUGAAUAUGGGGGGACCAUCCUCCAAGGCUAAAUACUCCUGACUGACCGAUAGUGAACCAGUACCGUGAGGGAAAGGCGAAAAGAACCCCGGCGAGGGGAGUGAAAAAGAACCUGAAACCGUGUACGUACAAGCAGUGGGAGCCUCUUAAUGGGGUGACUGCGUACCUUUUGUAUAAUGGGUCAGCGACUUAUAUUCUGUAGCAAGGUUAACCGAAUAGGGGAGCCGAAGGGAAACCGAGUCUUAACUGGGCGUUAAGUUGCAGGGUAUAGACCCGAAACCCGGUGAUCUAGCCAUGGGCAGGUUGAAGGUUGGGUAACACUAACUGGAGGACCGAACCGACUAAUGUUGAAAAAUUAGCGGAUGACUUGUGGCUGGGGGUGAAAGGCCAAUCAAACCGGGAGAUAGCUGGUUCUCCCCGAAAGCUAUUUAGGUAGCGCCUCGUGAAUUCAUCUCCGGGGGUAGAGCACUGUUUCGGCAAGGGGGUCAUCCCGACUUACCAACCCGAUGCAAACUGCGAAUACCGGAGAAUGUUAUCACGGGAGACACACGGCGGGUGCUAACGUCCGUCGUGAAGAGGGAAACAACCCAGACCGCCAGCUAAGGUCCCAAAGUCAUGGUUAAGUGGGAAACGAUGUGGGAAGGCCCAGACAGCCAGGAUGUUGGCUUAGAAGCAGCCAUCAUUUAAAGAAAGCGUAAUAGCUCACUGGUCGAGUCGGCCUGCGCGGAAGAUGUAACGGGGCUAAACCAUGCACCGAAGCUGCGGCAGCGACACUAUGUGUUGUUGGGUAGGGGAGCGUUCUGUAAGCCUGUGAAGGUGGCCUGUGAGGGUUGCUGGAGGUAUCAGAAGUGCGAAUGCUGACAUAAGUAACGAUAAAGCGGGUGAAAAGCCCGCUCGCCGGAAGACCAAGGGUUCCUGUCCAACGUUAAUCGGGGCAGGGUGAGUCGACCCCUAAGGCGAGGCCGAAAGGCGUAGUCGAUGGGAAACAGGUUAAUAUUCCUGUACUUGGUGUUACUGCGAAGGGGGGACGGAGAAGGCUAUGUUGGCCGGGCGACGGUUGUCCCGGUUUAAGCGUGUAGGCUGGUUUUCCAGGCAAAUCCGGAAAAUCAAGGCUGAGGCGUGAUGACGAGGCACUACGGUGCUGAAGUGACAAAUGCCCUGCUUCCAGGAAAAGCCUCUAAGCAUCAGGUAACAUCAAAUCGUACCCCAAACCGACACAGGUGGUCAGGUAGAGAAUACCAAGGCGCUUGAGAGAACUCGGGUGAAGGAACUAGGCAAAAUGGUGCCGUAACUUCGGGAGAAGGCACGCUGAUAUGUAGGUGAAGCGACUUGCUCGUGGAGCUGAAAUCAGUCGAAGAUACCAGCUGGCUGCAACUGUUUAUUAAAAACACAGCACUGUGCAAACACGAAAGUGGACGUAUACGGUGUGACGCCUGCCCGGUGCCGGAAGGUUAAUUGAUGGGGUUAGCGGUAACGCGAAGCUCUUGAUCGAAGCCCCGGUAAACGGCGGCCGUAACUAUAACGGUCCUAAGGUAGCGAAAUUCCUUGUCGGGUAAGUUCCGACCUGCACGAAUGGCGUAAUGAUGGCCAGGCUGUCUCCACCCGAGACUCAGUGAAAUUGAACUCGCUGUGAAGAUGCAGUGUACCCGCGGCAAGACGGAAAGACCCCGUGAACCUUUACUAUAGCUUGACACUGAACAUUGAGCCUUGAUGUGUAGGAUAGGUGGGAGGCUUUGAAGUGUGGACGCCAGUCUGCAUGGAGCCGACCUUGAAAUACCACCCUUUAAUGUUUGAUGUUCUAACGUUGGCCCGUAAUCCGGGUUGCGGACAGUGUCUGGUGGGUAGUUUGACUGGGGCGGUCUCCUCCUAAAGAGUAACGGAGGAGCACGAAGGUUGGCUAAUCCUGGUCGGACAUCAGGAGGUUAGUGCAAUGGCAUAAGCCAGCUUGACUGCGAGCGUGACGGCGCGAGCAGGUGCGAAAGCAGGUCAUAGUGAUCCGGUGGUUCUGAAUGGAAGGGCCAUCGCUCAACGGAUAAAAGGUACUCCGGGGAUAACAGGCUGAUACCGCCCAAGAGUUCAUAUCGACGGCGGUGUUUGGCACCUCGAUGUCGGCUCAUCACAUCCUGGGGCUGAAGUAGGUCCCAAGGGUAUGGCUGUUCGCCAUUUAAAGUGGUACGCGAGCUGGGUUUAGAACGUCGUGAGACAGUUCGGUCCCUAUCUGCCGUGGGCGCUGGAGAACUGAGGGGGGCUGCUCCUAGUACGAGAGGACCGGAGUGGACGCAUCACUGGUGUUCGGGUUGUCAUGCCAAUGGCACUGCCCGGUAGCUAAAUGCGGAAGAGAUAAGUGCUGAAAGCAUCUAAGCACGAAACUUGCCCCGAGAUGAGUUCUCCCUGACUCCUUGAGAGUCCUGAAGGAACGUUGAAGACGACGACGUUGAUAGGCCGGGUGUGUAAGCGCAGCGAUGCGUUGAGCUAACCGGUACUAAUGAACCGUGAGGCUUAACCUU
rnacentral:rRNA from 1 species